UAGGAUUAGACGUUCGCCUCUGUUAUUAGUUCUCUAUCACCGAUCAGGUAAGCUUCAUUUUUUUCUUUGUUCAAUUUUUAAUCUCACUCCAAGAAAGUGAGAUUUAAGCUUUUUAAUGUUGUCUAUAUUUUCAGGGAUAUUAAUGGGUUGAUCUAUACUUCUUUAAAUCUGAUCGAUCAUACAAAUCCACCGCCGUUGAUCACGAGGACAAAGUCUAGGUAGAUUUUUGGAUAUUUCCUAGCAAAAAAUCGGGAGGUUUCGUUCUUGAUGUUUUGAGAUUGAGUUUGGACUUUGGUAAUAGAG